AAUGCCAGGCCAUUUGGAAUGGUUCUAAUUCUUAUGUUGUAGAUCUGCAAGAAAGGACAUGUUCCUGUAGGAGAUGGCAGUUAACAGGCAUUCCUUGCUCACACUCCAUUGCAUGUAUGUGGUUUGCACGCCAGAACCCUGAGAAUUAUGUGGAUCCAAGCUACAGGAAAUCAACUUUUCUAGAAACAUAUUCCUAUCUGAUUAAAGCCCAAUAAUGGGCCUAAGCUAUGGCCAGAAGAUCCUGCCCCGCCCCUUAACCCUCCCUUUGUAAGAAGAGCUCCUGGGAGGCCAGAAAAGGCUAGAAACAAGGCAAAUGAUGAGAAGAAGAACCCUACAAAGUUGAAGAAAUGAGGCUUUGCACUGAAAUGUAGAAGAUGUGGAGGACAAGGGCACAAUGUAAGAACUUGCAAGGCCAAGGACCUAGCUGACAGAGAGGUUCCUGUUGGAGGGAAUAAGGAUAACCCUACACUACUGCAGCCUGAGCAUAGGGAUGUGCAAACUACUCAAAAUGCAACUCAGGAUGCACCUCCAGUGAGCCAGACCCAUGGUGAACCUCCUCUUAGCCAAUCUCAGCCUCCACAGGCUCCAUAGUCUCAGCCUCCACAGGCUCAAAGUAUUCAAGCUGGAUCAAAUGAGGCUGACAAAGCUAAGGGGAAAGGAAAAGGGAAAGUGAAACAGCCAGCCAAUGGGAA